rnacentral:sRNA from 1 species
AGUACCUCUGUUUAAUAGGUUGAUGUUC